rnacentral:rRNA from 1 species
UGCCAGCCGCCGCGGUAAUACGGAGGGUGCAAGCGUUAAUCGGAAUUACUGUGCGUAAAGCGCGCGUAGGUUGAUUGGUCAGUCAGAUGUGAAAGCCCCGGGCUCAACCUGGGAACUGCACCUGAUACUGCCAGUCUAGAAUACGGUAGAGGGUAGUGGAAUUCCGGGUGUAGGAGUGAAAUCCGUAGAUAUCCGGAGGAACACCAGAGGCGAAGCGGCCAACUGGUGGUGCAUUGACACUGAGGUGCGAAAGCGUGGGGAGCAAACAGUAUUGGAUA